CAAUGAGAUCAGAUGCACCCGCUUUUCGCCCGACAUUUAGUGUACCACCAUCUGAACAGUUCUUAUCACCAAAGCAGGCUCCUACACGCAGGCGAGACCCCUCUCCAACGAGUGAGCCAGACAUCGCAGACUACUAUGAUCCGGAAAUGUUUCAAACCAGACGCAUGACUCGAUCAAUGUCUAUGUACUACCACCCGAAGAUUUACCCUCGGGAAUACCCUUGAGUACCUUUCAUUAGUUUUUGUUCGUGUCUUGUUUAGUGUGAUUGCAUUUCAUCUUCAAAUAUUUGUUACAAUUUACAUUUGCUGGAGGUCAGGUCCAUGCCCCCCUCCUCUAUUUGUUUUCCCGCUUUUCAUUAUAUAAAAUAAACCACACUAGUGGUAUUUGCUUAAAAAAAAAAAAAAACCCCAAACCCCUAACCCUAAACCCCUAACCCCUAAACCCUAAACCCUAAACCCUAAACCCUAAACCCUAAACCCUAAACCCUAAACCCUACCACCAUCUGAACAGUUCUUAUCACCAAAGCAGGCUCCUACACGCAGGCGAGACCCCUCUCCAACGAGUGAGCCAGACAUCGCAGACUACUAUGAUCCGAAAAUGUUUCAAACCAGACGCAUGACUCGAUCAAUGUCUAUGUACUACCACCCGAAGAUUUACCCUCGGGAAUACCCUUGAGUACCUUUCAUUAGUUUUUGUUCGUGUCUUGUUUAGUGUGAUUGCAUUUCAUCUUCAAAUAUUUGUUACAAUUUACAUUUGCUGGAGGUCAGGUCCAUGCCCCCCUCCUCUAUUUGUUUUCCCGCUUUUCAUUAUAUAAAAUAAACCAC
rnacentral:lncRNA from 1 species